UACGCAGGGUGCAAGCGUUGUCCGGAAUUAUUGGGCGUAAAGAGCUCGUAGGCGGCUUGUCGCGUCGGCUGUGAAAACCUGGGGCUCAACCCCGGGCCUGCAGCCGAUACGGGCAAGCUAGAAUUCGGUAGGGGAGACUGGAAUUCCUGGUGUAGCGGUGAAAUGCGCAGAUAUCAGGAGGAACACCGGUGGCGAAGGCGGGUCUCUGGGCCGAUAUUGACGCUGAGGAGCGAAAGCGUGGGGAGCGAACAGG
rnacentral:rRNA from 1 species